CUGAACAAAAUAUAAAAUACAUGGCUAAGAUAGAAAUUUUCGAGUAGAAAAUUCACCAGCGGAAAACCCAGCAGAUCACAGCAGACGGAGAAAGAGCAGCAAGGAAAGCUGAAGCCGAAAUCCCGCCGCCAGUCUGUGUACCAGCUUAGUGUAGUGUGGUCACCCAGGGAAAGAGUGAGAGAGUUCCGGGAAAACACUGCUGGAAGUGUUCACACUUCAGGAGAGACGGCAUCAACACACCAUGGGAAAUGCCAUACGAAACCGUAAGAUGAGAACUUGCCAUCUAGCGAACCUUAUUCCUAAAGAAAUACAGAGUAAUCCUGUCUGCAUAGCCAUAUUGAUUGACCCGAAGCUGGCUUUGCAACCCUUUCAGCAUCACCCACCACGGCGGCCGGACUGGAACAGUAAGACAUCACCAUGCUGUUCUCUCUCUCCUUGCCUGCUUCAGUCUUCACACGGCCUCAUCUGGCAAUCUUGAACUCUAUGUCUUUGAGGGGUUUUCUCUAAUGUUAAUAAACUGUCUUCCCUUAAGUGGCAAACUUGCUGUCUGUGUCCCUUUGGGUAGGUCAAAGCGUCCAUCCACUCUGUUGCUAACUCUUACCCAGAGCCACACAGCACUGAGCAGGGAUUGGGGAAGGUGGUCUCUGAAGGCCUUAUUACCUGAUGCUUAGCUCUGGACUCACCCGGCAGCUUCUCCUCACUGGGCUCGGCCUCUUUUUCCUAAAAUGAUCCUUUCUCCAAAUGUCAUCGAAGUACUUUUGUAGACAUUAGUCAAAACCUCCUCUGAAGUCUGUGUGUCAGAGAAGCUUUAGGGGAGUCUCCAUGAUGUCUUCCCCCUGGGUUCCGUGAGUCUGUUCCUUUGUCUGUUGCCUCCAGUAGCUUCGGGCUCACUGCUGCCUGUCUGGUAAGGCUACUGGGAUGAAUCUGGUUUGAAUCUGAACCGUGAACCACAGACUCAUGUUUUGAGGGCUUGUUUCCAAGUUGGUGGUGAUAUUCAGAGGAAGGUUAUAAGAGUGAGUCUUCGAAGGUCAGAGUACCAUGGUUCCACUCCCAUGUUCCUAGUUCACUACAGUGUGAACAGCUGCUACCUUGAGCUCCUACCACCACAGAGAGAGCAGCGGCCAUAGCUUUCCACUGAACUGAAGUUACCAUGAGCCCAAGUCAGUGUUUCUCUUCUCUUGUUUGUUUGUUUCCCUGUCAGGUGUUUUGGUUAUAGUGAGGCAGAGGUGGCUAAUUGGAUUCAACAAGGAGGUCUCUUAACAGUCUAGUCCUUGGGACCCUUCCUAAGAGCUUAAUGAAAGCCAUAGCAUGUUGGAAAGGCCUAAUGCCCAAGAACUGUAAGUGCCUGUCGGUCACAAAGGUAGUCCCUGGCCAACAGCCAGCAAAUGGCUAAUACUGACUGCUACACAGUUGCAAAAGAGCAAAACCUGCCAACUUCACUCCCCUGGAAGAGGUUCCUUUGCCCCUCUAAAGAGGAGUUUUAGGUUCCGUUGAAACUGUGCGAUCACAAACACACAACUCUGCACCAUUCAUUUAUCCACUCUGGAAACUAUAGAGUAAGUGGGCUCAGCGAGCAAACAGGAGCUGAGGGGCACUGUCCUUAGCAGAGGGUCAGUGUGUUUCUGAGCCUUGACCUUGGAACCCAGAGCCUCCAGCACUCGUCAUAAUGGGUCACGCUCUUAGCUCUCCCAUCAUGAGCUGACCCACUUAAAACUCAAGUGUGGGAACACACAGAAGAGUACACUGGGCUGCUGGGCAUAGCCUACAUCGGUAGUUGUCUGCAGAAUGGGGUGUUAGGAAAGUCCAGACUCCGUCCCCUCUUCAUCCCACAGACACACUUGGGCCUCUUGAAGUGAUGUGUCAAGGUAUAGCCUGGGUCCCACUGCCCUGGUAACUAGGUGAGAGGGGCAAGAGAAGAGGCCAGGCUCACAUUAGUGACAAAAGGAAAUGACAAGAUUUCAAACUAAGUUGUUUCUUAGAGGUGAUUACAAGAUUCAAAGGCUAGGCAAUUCUUGUUAGAAUUUCUCUUACUAGACAGGUGUCCUUUGUGAUUAGUGUAGUUUAAAAUUAAAAAAAAUUAUUGCAUGUGCUCGCAUGUGUGUGUACAGAUCAGAGGACAACCUUCAGGAGUCUGUUCUUCCACCAUCAGUUCAGUAACAGCACUCAGGUCUUACCCACAGCGGCCUGCUAUUGGCACUCUAAUUCCUGAUGUUCAUGGGAGAGCUUAAAGAUUUUACCCCUUUUCUUUCUGUGGUGAUGGAGAUUAAUUCCAGGCCUUGUGUAUGCUACGUUAGAGCUCUACCGUUGAGCUACAUUCCAAUUUUAGAUGUUUUUAAAUAUAGUCUAAACAUUAGCUUCAUCUUCAUUAUAUACUUAGUUGAUGUUUUAAAGGAAGACACAGGCAUGAUGUAAUUGUAAACAGGACAGUCUCUAUUUAAACAAUCACAAACAAGUUAUAUACAAAUUACAGAACUUUAUUCUAUGUUCCAAGAGCCUGAGUCCUAUCUUGCUGUCCAGACAACCUCCAUGAAGCUGUUGGUGGUACUGGAAGAGGAAGGACAAGAGUAUCUGUGUCUUUCCAUCCAGUUACCGAUCUACUUCCGGGAGCUGCCUUCCUCCUUGUCCUGAUUCCCCGGAAUGACAAUCCCUGAGAGUUCACGUGUGUAGCUCUCGACAGCAUCCGCAUUGCAUCCCAAGGCAGAGCAGCUGUGCAUUCUGGGUGUUUUUCUGCCUCCUGAUAAUGUCCCUUCUGCUGUCACUCCAGAGCCCACCCAGGGACCCCAAACUGUUGCUCUUGAGUAGCAUCCUCAAGUUAGCAUUUCUUCCUGAGGGAUGGGCCUGACCUUAGUUUUAACAGGACUCACCAGGGCUUGGUAGUUCACAAUGGAGCCCACAGAGCUCUGGCCACAAACCACAGACAACCUUUCUUUACAGAAUGAUCUUCUAUGGAGCACGAGCUCAGGGGAGGGAUAGAAAGACCAAAGAGAGGGCACAGACCUACAAGGGGCCUUGAAACUGUCUGAUGGUGAGGUAUGCUUCUCAGGUAGGCCUUUCUUUGGCUCCACAUUCUCCUAUAGCUUCAGCAAGGACCAAGCUGCAUCUGAAAGCAGCAGUGACCAUGAGAAACUGUGGAUGCCUGGAUGCCGGGAUUGGGGCUCCUGGAUCAGGGGCAAGGCCGGUCAUGCUCCUAGCCAGCUGACUCUUGGUGAGUGCUUAGCAGCCCAGGACUUCAGGAUCCUCUCUCCUCUCUUCCUCUCUCAUCCCCUCCCCUCCCUCCCUGUCCCAUUCCCUCCUCCCCUCUCCACCCUUCCCCCCACCCUCCUGUCUUUCAUCCUUAGAGAAUCUGCCUUACUUCCUGCUUGCAGUUCAAGUUCCCCAGUGCUCCCAUCUGCCCCUGGGCCUAGCACCUACAGCAGAAUCUCUGGAGGAGGAAGAAGAGGAGGAGGGGGAAGAAGAGGAGGAGGGGGGAGAAGAGGACGAGGGGGAGGGAGAGGAG
ensembl:lncRNA